ACUAGAUUGACAGGCCUUGAUCCCGUAAAAUUCUAGUUAACAACUAAACACCCUAUCCAGCGGGCUUCAACCUA
rnacentral:tRNA from 1 species